rnacentral:rRNA from 1 species
CCCUUAGAUGUUCUGGGCUGCACGCGCGCUACACUGACGCACGCAACAGGUGCCUGCUCCGAGAGGACUGGGUAAUCAUUUGAGUGUGCGUCGUGAUGGGGAUAGAAUAUUGUAAUUAUUACUCUUCAACGAGGAAUUCCUAGUAAGCGCCAGUCAGCAGCUUGCGCUGAUUACGUCCCUGCCCUUUGUACACACCGCCCGUCGCUCCUACCGAUGUGUGAUCCGGUGAAUGAUUCGGACUUCAGCGGCUCCCCUGGGGUGCGCCGGAGAAAGUUUUGUGAACCUUAUCACUUGGAGGAAGGAGAAGUCGUAACA